GACGAACGCUGGCGGCGUGCUUAACACAUGCAAGUCGAACGGAAAGGCCCUGCUUUUGUGGGGUGCUCGAGUGGCGAACGGGUGAGUAACACGUGAGUAACCUGCCCUUGACUUUGGGAUAACUUCAGGAAACUGGGGCUAAUACCGGAUAGGAGCUCCUGCUGCAUGGUGGGGGUUGGAAAGUUUCGGCGGUUGGGGAUGGACUCGCGGCUUAUCAGCUUGUUGGUGGGGUAGUGGCUUACCAAGGCUUUGACGGGUAGCCGGCCUGAGAGGGUGACCGGCCACAUUGGGACUGAGAUACGGCCCAGACUCCUACGGGAGGCAGCAGUGGGGAAUAUUGCACAAUGGGCGGAAGCCUGAUGCAGCAACGCCGCGUGCGGGAUGACGGCCUUCGGGUUGUAAACCGCUUUCGCCUGUGACGAAGCGUGAGUGACGGUAAUGGGUAAAGAAGCACCGGCUAACUACGUGCCAGCAGCCGCGGUGAUACGUAGGGUGCGAGCGUUGUCCGGAUUUAUUGGGCGUAAAGGGCUCGUAGGUGGUUGAUCGCGUCGGAAGUGUAAUCUUGGGGCUUAACCCUGAGCGUGCUUUCGAUACGGGUUGACUUGAGGAAGGUAGGGGAGAAUGGAAUUCCUGGUGGAGCGGUGGAAUGCGCAGAUAUCAGGAGGAACACCAGUGGCGAAGGCGGUUCUCUGGGCCUUUCCUGACGCUGAGGAGCGAUAGCGUGGGGAGCGAACAGGCUUAGAUACCCUGGUAGUCCACGCUGUAAACGGUGGGUACUAGGUGUGGGGUCCAUUCCACGGGUUCCGUGCCGUAGCUAACGCUUUAAGUACCCCGCCUGGGGAGUACGGCCGCAAGGCUAAAACUCAAAGGAAUUGACGGGGCCCCGCACAAGCGGCGGAGCAUGCGGAUUAAUUCGAUGCAACGCGUAGAACCUUACCUGGGUUUGACAUGGAUCGGGAGUGCUCAGAGAUGGGUGUGCCUCUUUUGGGGUCGGUUCACAGGUGGUGCAUGGCUGUCGUCAGCUCGUGUCGUGAGAUGUUGGGUUAAGUCCCGCAACGAGCGCAACCCUUGUUCACUGUUGCCAGCACGUUAUGGUGGGGACUCAGUGGAGACCGCCGGGGUCAACUCGGAGGAAGGUGGGGAUGACGUCAAGUCAUCAUGCCCCUUAUGUCCAGGGCUUCACGCAUGCUACAAUGGCUGGUACAGAGAGUGGCGAGCCUGUGAGGGUGAGCGAAUCUCGGAAAGCCGGUCUCAGUUCGGAUUGGGGUCUGCAACUCGACCUCAUGAAGUCGGAGUCGCUAGUAAUCGCAGAUCAGCAACGCUGCGGUGAAUACGUUCCCGGG
rnacentral:rRNA from 1 species